AUAGAGGGUGGUAUUUGUUCUCAGGAGUAGAAUUUAGUGAUUCAUCACUUACCUACGACACCCGGGGCUCAUCACAGCAAGUUCCCUCCUUGAUGUCCAUCAGCCAUCUAGCCCAUCCCCCUGCCUACCUCCCUUCUGGUAACCCUCAGUUUGUUCUCUAUAGGUAAGAGUCUGUUUUCUGG